GCAGUCGUGGCCGAGUGGUUAAGGCGAUGGACUUGAAAUCCAUUGGGUCACCCCGCGCAGGUUCGUAUCCUGUCGGCUGCG
rnacentral:tRNA from 1 species